CGGAGGGGGAUAACCCCGGGAAACUGGGGAUAAUACCCCAUAGACUAUGGAUGCUGGAAUGCUCUGUAGCCGAAAGGUCCGCCGCCGUAGGAUGGGUCUGCGGCCGAUUAGGUUGUUGUUGGGGUAACGGCCCAACAAGCCUGUAAUCGGUACGGGUUGUGGGAGCAAGAGCCCGGAGAUGGAUUCUGAGACACGAAUCCAGGCCCUACGGGGCGCAGCAGGCGCGAAAACUUUGCAAUGCGGGAAACCGUGACAAGGGAACUCUGAGUGCCCGUUAAAUCGGGCUGUCCAUCGGUUUAAAUAACCGGUGAAGAAAGGGCCGGGCAAGACCGGUGCCAGCCGCCGCGGUAAUACCGGCGGCUCGAGUGGUGGCCACUAUUACUGGGCUUAAAGCGUUCGUAGCUGGUUUGUUAAGUCUCUGGGGAAAUCUUCCGGCUUAACCGGAAGGCGUCUCAGGGAUACUGGCAGACUAGGGACCGGGAGAGGUGAGAGGUACUCCAGGGGUAGGAGUGAAAUCCUGUAAUCCUUGGGGGACCACCUGUGGCGAAGGCGUCUCACCAGAACGGCUCCGACAGUGAGGGACGAAAGCUGGGGGAGCAAACCGGAUUAGAUACCCGGGUAGUCCCAGCUGUAAACGAUGCGCGUUAGGUGUAUCGGUGACCACGAGUCACCGAGGUGCCGAAGAGAAAUCGUGAAACGUGCCGCCUGGGAAGUACGGUCGCAAGGCUGAAACUUAA
rnacentral:rRNA from 1 species